rnacentral:rRNA from 1 species
UACGUAGGGGGCAAGCGUUGUCCGGAUUUAUUGGGCGUAAAGAGCGUGUAGGCGGCUUUGCAAGUCCGUUGUGAAAACUCGAGGCUCAACCUCGAGACGCCGGUGGAAACUGCAAAGCUAGAGUCCGGAAGAGGAGAGUGGAAUUCCUGGUGUAGCGGUGAAAUGCGCAGAUAUCAGGAAGAACCCCCGUGGCGAAGGCGGCUCUCUGGGACGGUACUGACGCUGAGACGCGAAAGCGUGGGGAGCAAACAGG